rnacentral:tRNA from 1 species
GCGUUGGUAGUUCAACCUGGUAGAACCUCCGCCUUCCAAGCGGAUGAUCUGGGUUCAAAUCCCAGCCAGCGCA